rnacentral:rRNA from 1 species
AUUGAACGCUGGCGGCAGGCCUAACACAUGCAAGUCGAGCGGCAGCGGGAAAGUAGCUUGCUACUUUUGCCGGCGAGCGGCGGACGGGUGAGUAAUGCCUGGGAAAUUGCCCAGUCGAGGGGGAUAACAGUUGGAAACGACUGCUAAUACCGCAUACGCCCUACGGGGGAAAGCAGGGGACCUGCGGGCCUGGCGUGAUUGCACUUGCCCAGGUGGGAUUAGCUAGUUGGUGAGGUAAUGGCUCACCAAGGCGACGAUCCCUAGCUGGUCUGAGAGGAUGAUCAGCCACACUGGAACUGAGACACGGUCCAGACUCCUACGGGAGGCAGCAGUGGGGAAUAUUGCACAAUGGGGGAAACCCUGAUGCAGCCAUGCCGCGUGUGUGAAGAAGGCCUUCGGGUUGUAAAGCACUUUCAGCGAGGAGGAAAGGUCAGUAGCUAAUAUCUGCUGGCUGUGACGUUACUCGCAGAAGAAGCACCGGCCAACUCCGUGCCAGCCGCCGCCGUAAAAC